UACGAAGGGGGCUAGCGUUGCUCGGAAUCACUGGGCGUAAAGGGCGCGUAGGCGGAUUGUUAAGUCAGGGGUGAAAUCCUGGAGCUCAACUCCAGAACUGCCUUUGAUACUGGCGAUCUCGAGUCCGGGAGAGGUGAGUGGAACUGCGAGUAUAGAGGUGAAAUUCGUAGAUAUUCGCAAGAACACCAGUGGCGAAGGCGGCUCACUGGCCCGGUACUGACGCUGAGGUGCGAAAGCGUGGGGAGCAAACAGG
rnacentral:rRNA from 1 species